AUUGAACGCUGGCGGCAUGUCUUACACAUGCAAGUCGAACGGCAGCACGGGAGCAAUCCUGGUGGCGAGUGGCGAACGGGUGAGUAAUAUAUCGGAACGUGCCCAGUCGUGGGGGAUAACGCAGCGAAAGCUGUGCUAAUACCGCAUACGUUCUAAGGAUGAAAGCGGGGGAUCGCAAGACCUCGCGCGAUUGGAGCGGCCGAUAUCAGAUUAGCUAGUUGGUGGGGUAAAGGCCCACCAAGGCGACGGUCUGUAGCUGGUCUGAGAGGACGACCAGGCACACUGGAACUGAUACACGGUCCAGACUCCUACGGGAGGCAGCAGUGGGGAAUUUUGGACAAUGGGCGCAAGCCUGAUCCAGCAAUGCCGCGUGCAGGAUGAAGGCCUUCGGGUUGUAAACUGCUUUUGUACGGAACGAAACGGCCCUUUCUAAUACAGGGGGCUAAUGACGGUACCGUAAGAAUAAGCACCGGCUAACUACGUGCCAGCCGCCGCAGUAA
rnacentral:rRNA from 1 species